rnacentral:rRNA from 1 species
UACAGAGGGUGCAAGCGUUGUUCGGAAUUACUGGGCGUAAAGCGUGCGUAGACGGUUAUUUAAGUCAGGUGUGAAAGCCCCGGGCUCAACCUGGGAAUUGCAUUUGAGACUGAAUAGCUAGGGUGCGGAAGAGGGAAGCGGAAUUUCCGGUGUAGCGGUGAAAUGCGUAGAUAUCGGAAGGAACACCAGUGGCGAAAGCGGCUUCCUGGUCCAGCACCGACGUUCAGGCACGAAAGCGUGGGGAGCAAACAGG